AGGGCGCACGGUGAAUGCCUUGGCACUGGAAGCCGAUGAAGGACGCGACUAACCGCGAAAGUCUUCGGGGAGCCGUAAGUAGGCUUUGAUCCGGAGGUCUCCGAAUGGGGGAACCCAGCAUGUGCAGACAUGCUAUCCUUAAGUGAAUACAUAGCUUAAGGAGGGAACACGCAGUGAACUGAAACAUCUAAGUAGCUGCAGGAAGAGAAAGAAAUAUCGAUUUCCCAAGUAGCGGCGAGCGAACAGGAAAGAGCCCAAACCGGCAGAUUUAUCUGCCGGGGUUGUAGGACUGAGACAUGGCACUUCAGAGGAUAGCAGAAGCGUUUGGGAAAGCGCGCCAGAGAGGGUGAGAGCCCCGUAAGCGAAAUCCAAAGAAGGCCUAUCAGUAUCCUGAGUAGGGCGGGACACGUGAAAUCCCGUUUGAAUCCGCGAGGACCAUCUCGCAAGGCUAAAUACUAACCAGUGACCGAUAGUGAACCAGUACCGUGAGGGAAAGGUGAAAAGAACCCCGGGAGGGGAGUGAAAGAGAACCUGAAACCGUGUGCCUACAAGUAGUCAGAGCCCGUUAACGGGUAAUGGCGUGCCUUUUGUAGAAUGAACCGGCGAGUUGCGUUAGUCAGCAAGGUUAAGUCAGAAAAGACGGAGCCGUAGCGAAAGCGAGUCUGAAGAGGGCGAGCAGUUGGCUGACGCAGACCCGAAACCAAGUGACCUACCCAUGACCAGGUUGAAGGCGCGGUAAAACGCGCUGGAGGACCGAACCCACGUAAGUUGAAAAUUGCGGGGAUGAGUUGUGGGUAGCGGUGAAAUUCCAAACGAACUUGGAGAUAGCUGGUUCUCUCCGAAAUAGCUUUAGGGCUAGCCUCGCAAAGAGGAUGCUGGAGGUAGAGCUCUGUUUGGACUAGGGGCCCGUCAAGGGUUACUGAAUUCAGAUAAACUGCGAAUUCCAGACAUUUAUGUGCGGGAGUCAGACUGCGAGUGAUAAGAUCCGUAGUCGAAAGGGAAACAGCCCAGAUCACCAGUUAAGGUCCCAAAAUUCAUGCUAAGUGGAAAAGGAUGUGGAGUUGCGCAGACAACUAGGACGUUGGCUCAGAAGCAGCCAUCAUUCAAAGAGUGCGUAAUAGCUCACUAGUCGAGUGACGCCGCGCCGAAAAUUUACCGGGGCUAAGCAUGAUACCGAAACUGUGGAUGUGCGUUUAUGCACGUGGUAGGAGAGCGUUCUAGCGGCGGUGAAGCAUGACCGAGAGGACAUGUGGAGCUUCUAGAAGUGAGAAUGCCGGUAUGAGUAACGAAAGACAGGUGAGAAUCCUGUCCGCCGCAAGACUAAGGUUUCCUGGGGCAGGCUCGUCCGCCCAGGGUAAGUCGGGACCUAAGGCGAGGCCGAGAGGCGUAGUCGAUGGACAACAGGUUGAAAUUCCUGUACUGCACCGAAUCGUUAUGAGCGAUGGAGGGACGCAGGAGGCUAGCAGCGCGUGGUGCUGGAUACCACGUUCAAGCGUCAAGUCUGAGAGCGAGUCAAAUGCUUGCUCUCAUAAGGACAAGGCGUGAUGAGGAGCGAAAUUAAAGUAGCGAAGGCUGCGACGUCACACUGCCGAGAAAAGCUUCUAGCCAGAGACGGUGCACCCGUACCGCAAACCGACACAGGUAGUCGAGGAGAGUAUCCUCAGGUGAGCGAGAGAACUCUCGUUAAGGAACUCGGCAAAAUGGCCCCGUAACUUCGGGAGAAGGGGCGCUGGUCGCAAGAUCAGCCGCAGUGAAAAGGCCCAAGCAACUGUUUAUCAAAAACACAGGCAUCUGCAAAAUCGUAAGAUGAAGUAUAGGUGCUGACACCUGCCCGGUGCUGGAAGGUUAAGAGGAGAGCUUAGCGCAAGCGAAGGUUUGAAUUGAAGCCCCAGUAAACGGCGGCCGUAACUAUAACGGUCCUAAGGUAGCGAAAUUCCUUGUCGGGUAAGUUCCGACCUGCACGAAAGGUGUAAUGAUUUGGGCACUGUCUCAACGAGAGACUCGGUGAAAUUAUAAUACCCGUGAAGAUGCGGGUUACCCGCGACAGGACGGAAAGACCCCAUGGAGCUUUACUGCAGUUUAAUAUUGGGUAUCUGUCAAGCAUGUACAGGAUAGGUAGGAGCCGGAGAAGAUAGGACGCCAGUCUUAUCUGAGGCGCUGUUGGGAUACUACCCUUGCUUGACGGAUGCUCUAACUCAGGCCUGUGAUCCAGGCCGAGGACAGUGUUUGACGGGCAGUUUGACUGGGGCGGUCGCCUCCUAAAGUGUAACGGAGGCGCCCAAAGGUUCCCUCAGAAUGGUUGGAAAUCAUUCGCAGAGUGUAAAGGUAAAAGGGAGCUUGACUGCGAGAGAGACAACUCGAGCAGGUACGAAAGUAGGGCUUAGUGAUCUGGUGGUACCGCAUGGAAGGGCCAUCACUCAACGGAUAAAAGCUACCCUGGGGAUAACAGGCUUAUCUCCCCCAAGAGUUCACAUCGACGGGGAGGUUUGGCACCUCGAUGUCGGCUCGUCGCAUCCUGGGGCUGAAGUCGGUCCCAAGGGUUGGGCUGUUCGCCCAUUAAAGCGGCACGCGAGCUGGGUUCAGAACGUCGUGAGACAGUUCGGUCCCUAUCCGUCGUGGGCGCAGGAAAUUUGAGAGGAGCUGUCCUUAGUACGAGAGGACCGGGAUGGACGCACCGCUGGUGUACCAGUUGUCUUGCCAAAGGCAUCGCUGGGUAGCUAUGUGCGGACGGGAUAAGCGCUGAAAGCAUCUAAGUGCGAAGCCCCCCUCAAGAUGAGAUUUCCCAUUUCU
rnacentral:rRNA from 1 species